AUGUUUCAAGAUUCAUUAAAACUGAGUAUUUCUAGGCCAAAAUGUUCUCCAUUAUCUCUUUAGGUCUCUUGGCUGCAAGUUAUCCAGAUUUGCUGAUUUUCAAAAUACUCAUUCUGAGUCAGUGUGGUUUAAUAUAGCUCAUUUUUAUGAGUGGAAAAAAGGGGUAUAUGCACUUCAGCCUUCUGCCUUCCAAACAUAGGACCAACAACUGAUUCUCACUUCCCUAAAGAAGAAAACCACAUCUGUGCUCUCUGAAGAUGAAAAAUGUAUAAAACAUGGUUCUUGAGGAGUAAGUUGUGGGCACGAUAUGAAGCCAGUCUCUAGCUCUGAUGCUGAAAAUUGUUGUUCUUUUGUGCUGGUGGUGUAUCCAGCUAUCACUUCUGUCCUCCUCACUCUCCUUACCUUCUUGUCUCAUGGAAUUGGUCUGGCCUAUCUACUUCCUGCUGUUUGCCACAAUGAAAUGAAUUCAGGAGAGAAGAUUAUGAAACCAACUUCAAAAGAAAUUUCACCCUCCAUGAGGAUCUUGUAUAAACUCUCAGACCUGUUGAUAAAACAGUAAAGAAAAAACUCCAAGCCUCUAUGGUGAAGGCUUCAGCUUUCUCAUAGCAUAUGAUAAAUACCCUUAUUAUAGUCAACACUUCUUGCCUGUGAUGGCCACUGGCACUAACAUAGACUUGCUCUUGGUCCUAAACAGAAAAAGAAGUCGGACAAGGGCAGAGCGUAUACAUGACUACGUCACUGCAGUGCUCCUUGAAGAGUUACUGCCAACUGCUUUGUUCUUAGCGCUGCACCCAUGGCCAGCCAGUGAGAUGAAUAAUUCUCUGACAAGAUUUAAUUCCUCUACUUAAUAUCCCCCUUUGGAUUGUCUCGUAGUAACUUCAUUUUAAGUGGUGUGAAGAAUGACAAAUAAAACACUUG
rnacentral:lncRNA from 1 species